rnacentral:rRNA from 1 species
CGGAGAUCCAAGCGUUAUCCGGAAUCAUUGGGUUUAAAGGGUCCGUAGGCGGGUUUAUAAGUCAGUGGUGAAAGCCCAUCGCUCAACGAUGGAACGGCCAUUGAUACUGUAGAUCUUGAAUUAUUAGGAAGUAACUAGAAUAUGUAGUGUAGCGGUGAAAUGCUUAGAGAUUACAUGGAAUACCAAUUGCGAAGGCAGGUUACUACUAAUGGAUUGACGCUGAUGGACGAAAGCGUGGGUAGCGAACAGGAUUAGAUACCCUGGUAGUCCACGCCGUAAACGAUGGAUACUAGCUGUUCGGAGCAAUCUGAGUGGCUAAGCGAAAGUGAUAAGUAUCCCACCUGGGGAGUAUGUUCGCAAGAAUG